AAUAUACUCCCUCCGUCCAGAAAUACUUGUCAUCAAUAUGAAUAAAAGGGGAUGUAUCUAGAUGUAUUUUAGUUCUAGAUACAUCCCUUUUUAGCCAUUUUCAUGACGAGUAUUUUCGAAUGGAGGGAGUAUAUG
rfam:Triticum urartu cultivar G1812 contig1079402, whole genome shotgun sequence.